GACGAACGCUGGCGGCGUGCUUAACACAUGCAAGUCGAACGGAAAGGCCUGCUUUCCCUUGUGGAUUGCGGGUACUCGAGUGGCGAACGGGUGAGUAACACGUGAGUGAUCUGCCCCCAACUUGGGUAUAAGCCUGGGAAACUGGGUCUAAUUCCCGAUAGGACUGCAGGGUGGUGCCUGUGGUGGAAAACGAUUUUCUAGUGGUUGGGGAUGAGCUCGCGGCCUAUCAGCUUGUUGGUGGGGUAAUGGCCUACCAAGGCGGCGACGGGUAGCCUGCCUGGGAGCGGGGACGUCCACAUUGGGACUGGGAUACGGCCCAGACUCCUACGGGAGGCAGCGGGGGGGAAGAUUGCACAAGGGGCGGAAGCCUGAGGCGGCGACGCCGCGUGGGGGAUGACGGCCUUCGGGUUGUAAACUCCUUUCGACCGCGAGGAAGCCACCUGGUUGGAAGGGUGGUGACGGUAGUGGAAGAAGAAGCACCGGCUAACUACGUG
rnacentral:rRNA from 1 species